AAUCGGGUAAAUCGCAAUCGCGGU
rnacentral:siRNA from 1 species